rnacentral:rRNA from 1 species
UAAAGACCUGUAUAAAAACCGGAUAAUAAAAACAAUAGUUUAAAACCCAAAGAAUUUGGCGGUGUCUUAUAUGACCAGGGGAACCUGUUUCUUAAUACGAUAUUCCACGAAAAUAAAGCCAUUAUUUGAAAAUCAGCUUGUGUACUGCUGUCGUCAGUAAACCUCUAAAAGAUAGUUUACAAUAAUAUAAAAUUUACGUCAAGUCAAAGUGCAGCCAAUAUAAUGGAGAUAAUGGGUUACAAUCUUUACAAAGAUACGAAAUAAUUUAAUAAAAAAAUUAUGAAGGUGGACUUGGUAGUAAUGUACAAAAUUUACAUGCAUAAAUUAAAAUCUAAGACAUGCACACAUCGCCCGUCGCUCUCGUCUAAAGAUG